rnacentral:lncRNA from 1 species
UGUGGUUGAGCCAGUGAAUGUCUUGGUAUCUGAAAUGGUUUUAAAUCCAUAGCUUGUAUUUAGGUCAGUUUUAACUAGGGAGCAGGGAGCAGCACACUUUUCCUGUUAACGGCCAGAAAGUAAAUAUUUUCAACCACAUGAACCUUGUCGUAAUUACAACUCGGCUAUUGCCGCACAAAAACAGCCAGAGACAAAGCAAAUGUGCAUGGCUGGCUUCCAGUAAACCUUUAAUUAUGCCGAAAAUUUGAAUCUAUCAUUUCCAUAUGUGUAAUGAAGCAUUAUUCUUAAACAAUUUUUUUCAACCAUUAAAAAAUUUAAAAACUGUUCUUAACUCAUGGGUUAUACAAAAACAGAUGGCAGGCUGGAUGUGGCCAGCCAGCCAUAGUUUGUUAAAUCCUGCUUGAGGAUUACAAUACUAUUAUCUGUUCUUCCAGAGUUUCAAGAAAAAGUAUGUGUUCUUAUAGCAUCAGACACAGUCACCAUUGCUCAGAGCAUCACCAUGUACGAGAAACAUUACAGUAGUUCUGUAAGUGGUGUGCCCAGCUCUAAUAUUUCUGGGACACAGUGCUUUGCUGCUGUGCUGUUUCAUUUGCACUCCGUCAGGCUCUCUUUGAAGUGGUUAAGGUUCUUAAGACAGUAUCACUUUCACUCUAGAAAUUCCAAAACUUGAUGAAUUGAACUACAGACAAUAUGCUCUUUUGCCUUGAGUAAGUUUUUGAAAAAUUUCCCCUCUUUCUGCUCCACAUCUACCGUCUGUGGAAAGUGAGCUCAGGUUUUCCAUUUAGAUAGAGUGCUCUCACAUUCCUUGAUGGCAUAUGGCGAGGCCCCCAAUUCAUGUGUAAUGGCUAAUUAAGGAAAACAGAUUUUUGCUAAAAAUAUCAGAGGCCAUACUUUGGCCAAGCUGGCUGCCUUUUCAGUAUUGCUGGUCACUUUCCUUUAAGUCCUAAAUUACUCAAGGCUUUGUAAUUUUUUCAGUCAUUUUAUUUACCGUGGAUAGUGAUGAAAAGGACAGAGGAUAUGGAGGAAUGACUUAAUUUAUUAAGGCCUAAUGUUCUUUUUUAAUUCCCUUUGGACAGUUUUGGAAUUUCUGUGCCAUUUCUUCUUGUCGCUUAGUCUGUUUUAGAAGUUAUUUAUUUCUGAUUUAGAACAGAAUCAUGAAAAUCAUUAUAAUCAACUUUGAUCAUAGAGCAUAUAUAGAUGUAUGCAUAAUGUUUAUUAAAAAAUAUGGGAAAAACAUUCCAAAGCCUACCACCCAGAAAUAAAUACUUUAACUUUUACUACUUAUAUGGUAUUGUAUUCUGUAGGUGUGCCCACACAAAUACACAUACAUGCUAUGUAUCUGAGCUUGGUGCCUGCCCUUCUUGAGAUUUUUUAAUAUAGCAUGCCUCCUCAGAGUGCCUGAAGAGGGCUGUAGAAAUAUGAUGUUUUAUGUCUUAUCUUCAAGAUCUAUAAAUCAUUUAUGCCUGAGUGGCAGUUGGGUCACUUGUGCUAUAAUGUGACAUAUGCAUGCCUAUAGACUGCCAUAUUAUGUGAAAUUGCACCACAAAACAUAACAACACAAUACAGGGCUUAUGGGAAAAAUGAGUCAGGGGUACAACACUCAAAGCAUCAUAGUGACACAUUAAAAAAAAAUAUAGAAACCUAAUAAAAAUAGUGGCACAGCGUUACACAUGUUAAAUGGUUAAGAAAUAUAUGAAGACUCUAAUAAAUAUGGCACUUUAGUCUGAAAAAGGCCUGAAAUGUGCUUGUAAUUUGGUGUUGGUACAUUAGCUUGCCAGGGCUGUUGUAACAAACCACUACAGACUGGGUGGCUUACACAACAGAAGUGUAUUUCUCACAGUUCUGGAGCCUGAAGUCUAAGAUCAAGAUGUUACAGAGUUGGUUUCUCCAGAGACCACUCUUCUUGGCUUAUGUCUGGCCACCUUCUCCCCAUGUCUUCAUGUGGUCUUUCUUUCCUCUUGCACAUUCAUCCUUGGUGUCUCUUCCUCUUUUUCUUCUUCUUUUUUUUGGCCAUACCCACAGCAAGUGGAAGUUCCUGGGCCAGGGAUCGAACUGGAGCCACAGCAGUGACACCAAAUGCUAGACUUCCUGACCACCAAGGAACUCCAUCCAUUCCUCCUCUUGUAAGGACACCAAUUAUACUGGAUUAAGAGCCCACUCUUAUAAUUUCAUUUAACCUUAAUUGCUUCCUUUAAGGUCUACUUCCCAAAAAUGUCACAACAUAAGCAAAUGAAAUCCAUGUUAUGCUCACAUAACAUUGGAAGAUGUUUAUAAUUUGGGCAUAUGGUUAACAAACAGUAGGGCUAUGGUGUAGAGUAGUGAGCUCUGGAGCCAGGUAGUGUGAGUUUGGGUCUUCUCUCUAAUAAAAAGAGGUAUGUGGGGUGUUUGGGAGAGUUCUUUGGCCACCCUAAGCUUCGGUUUCGGUUUCUUUAUUUGUAAAAUGGGCACAUCAGUAGGGCCUGCCACUUCAGUCAUUGUGAAGACUAAAUGAAUUAACAUAUGUAAUGUGUUUAGAGAGAUGUUUCAUACACAGUAAGGGCACAGUGAAUGUUAGCUGCCUACAACAUCAUCAAAUUGUCUGUUGGAUUAGUGUAAUAAGAGCAGCAACAAAUAGCUAGUAGUCAGGUCUCUGUCUCCUCAGAUGUGCAGCCGGAAGUUGUGGAACCUGCAGACACAGGGCUGACUGGACUGUGCCAUUUUGAGGAUUUUGGUAUCCCUGGGAACCAAUCCUCCAUGGUUACCAAGGGAUGCCUUUAGCCUGUCACAACCAUGCACUAGCCUUGGGCACACUGCCUGGCAGAGGUGACUGUUGUUUGUCUUUUGGAGAGGAGAGAUGCAAGGAGGUGCAAAAGGAGCAGCGUCUCAGUUUAGAGCAAAACUCUUUCAUCCUGUGGAACCCAAGGAGGAAGAAUCCACGUGGCUUCAUAGGGCUGUCAACCUGGGCUUUACUGACACACAUAAAAAAGAUGCAAAACCCAUCUCAGUUCAGAGCGCUAGUGCCUUUGGCUGGCUGCUGAGUAGUGAUGUGACAAGAGUGGAUGAAGAAAGGUGUCCUGCUUCAGCAGGGAGCUGUGCCCACUGUGCCUCUAGAAGUCGAGGCUUCUGAAGCUCCACAUGAGAAAUGUCAGAACACACAGUGAAUAUCUUUGAACCACAGAGAUUUAAAAUUUGCCUGGGUGAUUUUGAGGAGGACACAGCUGUCUCCGCCAGGAGGGAGGGAGGAACAAAGCUGGAGCCCUGCUGUGCUGGCUUUGGUAAAGCCCCCUCUGCUGGGGCCAGGACAGUCCCAGCAGCCUUAGGAGGUCAGCAUGGCUUCUGGGGACAGGAGUUUGCUGUGAAAUGUAAUACUUGUUGGUUACCUCCUAAGUGCAGGCAAAGAGGUAAAAGGGGCAAUGGACCUUGAACAUAUUUGAUAAUGGAAAUCAGAUGCACCUGAUUCAUAUCCUGGUUCAAGCUCUCGUACCCUUGUGAGGAAUUCACCAUUCCCAGAUGCCUCCCUAAAGGGGAAAUAACUUCUCUUUAUGUGAUCAUUCUGGAGACAUAAGAGGUUGUGUGUAUAAUGUAUAUCUCUCGGUGCCUGGUUCCUUUUCAAGUGGGUUGCAAAGUUGAGUAAGCAACAGCUUCUGACACUGUGGGACUCACCAGGGGCAGUUGAUUCUGUUAUUAAUAGAGUUGUUCAACACCUUAGGUAGGGAGUCAUAAGCUCUAAUAGUUACGUGAUGUGGCUCCUUUCUAGGGCCUCUUCCUUAUGACCCCUGUCAUGGGGUUUUCUGGGUCUUGUAUCUUAAUUGGCUCUCAAGAGAACUAUAAUUUAGAUUCUAGAGAAGGAAGCAGUUUUUUUCUCUCCCUUCAGAAUCCAAUCUGGUUUGCCCUCUCUUUCUCUCCUCUUUUGUCUCCAGUCCCUGCCCCCAUCCCUGGCACUCACCUCUCUCCCCCGCCUGUUAUAGGGGCACUUGCCUUCUGUUUCCUGCUGGCUGUUCGCCCUUCUGUUUUUAGCGCAUGGUGACCACAUGCUUUGGCAAGGGGCAGACAGGAGAUUUAAAAGAAUCCUCAAUCAUUACUAAUUUGGCUAUAAUUGUUUCAGAAGUUGGGACAUGGCACAUGACUCUUGAUGUUUGCAUGUAGCAACUAGUAAUGUACGGAGUGAAUGUCUUUGGACAUGAGAUGCUGGUGGUGGGAAGGGUCAGCGCUUGGGAUAUUGCAAUAGGAGGUCCAGCCAUGUCCCCUUAGGGAAGAUUUGAGCAGACUCCAAGUGUCUAUAAGGGAAGCAGAGUUUUGAGGUUUAUUUGCAGACCUUCCCAAAUCUAAAUUCAUAAUGAGCCAUCCAUGAGACUGGAGACUUAGCUAAAGGCAGUUAAAGUCAGUGGUCUUCAUUUUAAGUGCAAGUUGAGCAGCUGACUGUGUCGAUAGGGCUGUCAUGAUUUGAGCAAAUUAAAGUAUUUUAGAAAAAUCACUUUAAAUUUGACCAGUAUUUAUUUCUUAUUUUGCCCAUAUACCAUCUCAGAGCAGUUGCCAGCUGAUGGGAGGCUAUAUACUGGGCUCAGGGCUCAACUACCUAGAAAGUUAAGGACACUGUUUGUGCAGGGGAUACCCUGUGAUUAAGGCCAUUGGUGCAGUGCCACCCACACGGUGCACCAUGACACACAGGUCAAGGUUAGCAGCAGAAGUACCAUUAAAGGUUAGUAUGCAAAGCUUGCCCAUAUUGCUUAAUUCUGCAGGAUCCUGAUAAUUCCUGUAUUCCCUGUAUUUAGCCACAGAUGUAAUGAAAUUGCAUAUUUUCAUCUUACAUUUGAUAAUGUAAUAGGUUUUCUUGCAGAUAUAGGGAACACCUAAUGCAGAUAGGAAACUGGACUCUAAGCAAGGAAAGGAAAGAGAUGUUUAAUGAGGUUAAGUUCUAUUUCGGAUUCUAUUAAUCCUCACAAUUGUCCUCUGUAAAGUAUUAAGUCUUAAAAGCCUUUCUUACCGAUGAAGAAACUGAAGCAAAGAGAGGUGGAGUAGCUGACCCAGCACCAAUAUAGCUUGUGUCUGGUAUUUUCACCAUAAGUAUCUUUGUUGUAAACGUCUUUGCCACAGCAUUUUUAGCCAAAUAACUAAUUAGCCAUAAGACAGUUCUGCCUUAAAAGAUAUAAUGGUGAAAAUGAAUAACAAAAUUAAAUAAAUAAUAAGAUG